CGAACGGGUGAGUAACACGUGAGUAACCUGCCCUUGACUCUGGGAUAAGCCUGGGAAACUGGGUCUAAUACCGGAUAUGACUCCUCAUCGCAUGGUGGGGGGUGGAAAGCUUUUUGUGGUUUUGGAUGGACUCGCGGCCUAUCAGCUUGUUGGUGGGGUAAUGGCUUACCAAGGCGAUGACGGGUAGCCGGCCUGAGAGGGUGACCGGCCACACUGGGACUGAGACACGGCCCAG
rnacentral:rRNA from 1 species